rnacentral:misc_RNA from 1 species
GGAAUUAAAAGUCGUAACAAGGUUUCCGUAGGUGAACCUGCGGAAGGAUCAUUACCCAAAGAUAAUCUUUCCAUCUCGAAAGAUCUUUUCCAUUGCGCUGGCUUUGACUGUAUUGUCAUUUUAGGGCUUAAACAUGGUGUUAUGCCGGCCCUAAAAAACAUUAUACCAACCUUAUGAAAAUUGACUGAACAACUAAAACAAUUGAUAAUUUUGUUUAAAAACAACUUUCAACAACGGAUCUCUUGGUUCUC